rnacentral:pre_miRNA from 1 species
GGGUUGGAGGUGGAGCUCCUUGAAGUCCAAAGGAGGGUCUUGGUAGGGUGGAUUGAGCUGCUGGUUUAUGGAUUCCACUGCCGUAUUCCAUGUUUUCUUUGCUAUAGCUGAUGACAAAGAUGGUGAAUGUUUUGGGAUAGGCUUGUGGUUUGCAUAACUCAGGAGCUGGGUAUUUGGAUUGAAGGGAGCUCUACAUCUGUUUACU